rnacentral:rRNA from 1 species
GACGAACGCUGGCGGCGUGCCUAAUACAUGCAAGUCGAGCGCAAGAAACUGACGGAACUCUUCGGAGGGAAGGCAGUGGAAUGAGCGGCGGACGGGUGAGUAACACGUAAGGAACCCGCCUCAAGGAUUGGGAUAACUCCGAGAAAUCGGAGCUAAUACCGGAUAGUUCAUCGGACCGCAUGGUCCGCUGAUGAAAGGCGCUUCGGCGUCACCUUGAGAUGGCCUUGCGGUGCAUUAGCUAGUUGGUGAGGUAACGGCCCACCAAGGCGACGAUGCAUAGCCGACCUGAGAGGGUGAUCGGCCACACUGGGACUGAGACACGGCCCAGACUCCUACGGGAGGCAGCAGUAGGGAAUCUUCCACAAUGGACGAAAGUCUGAUGGAGCAACGCCGCGUGAGUGAUGAAGGUUUUCGGAUCGUAAAACUCUGUUGUAAGGGAAGAACACGUACGAGAGGGAAUGCUCGUACCUUGACGGUACCUUACGAGAAAGCCACGGCUAACUACGUGCCAGCAGCCGCCGUAAGAC